AGUGAACGCUGGCGGUAGGCCUAACACAUGCAAGUCGAACGGCAGCACAGGAGAGCUUGCUCUCUGGGUGGCGAGUGGCGGACGGGUGAGGAAUACAUCGGAAUCUACUUUUUCGUGGGGGAUAACGUAGGGAAACUUACGCUAAUACCGCAUACGACCUACGGGUGAAAGCAGGGGACCUUCGGGCCUUGCGCGAUUGAAUGAGCCGAUGUCGGAUUAGCUAGUUGUCGGGGUAAAGGCCCACCAAGGCGACGAUCCGUAGCUGGUCUGAAAGGAUGAUCAGCCACACUGGAACUGAGACACGGUCCAGACUCCUACGGGAGGCAGCAGUGGGGAAUAUUGGACAAGGGGCGCAAGCCUGAUCCAGCCAUACCGCGUGGGUGAAGAAGGCCUUCGGGUUGUAAAGCCCUUUUGUUGGGAAAGAAAUCCAGCUGGCUAAUACCCUGUUGGGAUGACGGUACCCAAAGAAUAAGCACCGGCUAACUUCUUGCCAGCCGCCGCGGUAA
rnacentral:rRNA from 1 species